rnacentral:rRNA from 1 species
GACGAACGCUUGCGGCGUGCUUAACACAUGCAAGUCGAACGGAAAGGCCCUGCUUUUGUGGGGUGCUCGAGUGGCGAACGGGUGAGUAACACGUGAGUAACCUGCCCUUGACUUUGGGAUAACUUCAGGAAACUGGGGCUAAUACCGGAUAGGAGCUCCUGCUGCAUGGUGGGGGUUGGAAAGUUUCGGCGGUUGGGGAUGGACUCGCGGCUUAUCAGCUUGUUGGUGGGGUAGUGGCUUACCAAGGCUUUGACGGGUAGCCGGCCUGAGAGGGUGACCGGCCACAUUGGGACUGAGAUACGGCCCAGACUCCUACGGGAGGCAGCAGUGGGGAAUAUUGCACAAUGGGCGGAAGCCUGAUGCAGCAACGCCGCGUGCGGGAUGACGGCCUUCGGGUUGUAAACCGCUUUCGCCUGUGACGAAGCGUGAGUGACGGUAAUGGGUAAAGAAGCACCGGCUAACUACGUGCCAGCAGCCGCGGUGAUACGUAGGGUGCGAGCGUUGUCCGGAUUUAUUGGGCGUAAAGGGCUCGUAGGUGGUUGAUCGCGUCGGAAGUGUAAUCUUGGGGCUUAACCCUGAGCGUGCUUUCGAUACGGGUUGACUUGAGGAAGGUAGGGGAGAAUGGAAUUCCUGGUGGAGCGGUGGAAUGCGCAGAUAUCAGGAGGAACACCAGUGGCGAAGGCGGUUCUCUGGGCCUUUCCUGACGCUGAGGAGCGAAAGCGUGGGGAGCGAACAGGCUUAGAUACCCUGGUAGUCCACGCUGUAAACGGUGGGUACUAGGUGUGGGGUCCAUUCCACGGGUUCCGUGCCGUAGCUAACGCUUUAAGUACCCCGCCUGGGGAGUACGGCCGCAAGGCUAAAACUCAAAGGAAUUGACGGGGCCCCGCACAAGCGGCGGAGCAUGCGGAUUAAUUCGAUGCAACGCGUAGAACCUUACCUGGGUUUGACAUGGAUCGGGAGUGCUCAGAGAUGGGUGUGCCUCUUUUGGGGUCGGUUCACAGGUGGUGCAUGCCUGUCGUCAGCUCGUGUCGUGAGAUGUUGGGUUAAGUCCCGCAACGAGCGCAACCCUUGUUCACUGUUGCCAGCACGUUAUGGUGGGGACUCAGUGGAGACCGCCGGGGUCAACUCGGAGGAAGGUGGGGAUGACGUCAAGUCCUCACGCCCCUUAUGUCCAGGGCUUCACGCAUGCUACAAUGGCUGGUACAGAGAGUGGCGAGCCUGUGAGGGUGAGCGAAUCUCGGAAAGCCGGUCUCAGUUCGGAUUGGGGUCUGCAACUCGACCUCAUGAAGUCGGAGUCGCUAGUAAUCGCAGAUCAGCAACGCUGCGGUGAAUACGUUCCCGGG